GCCCCCACCGGCAGCGCGGGGAGCGGCGAGAAUAGGGCGGCCUCGCACCUCCGGGACAGCGCCGGGCGGUCAGCGCGCGGCUCUCAGCUGGAGCGGGGUGGGGGGAGACUUGACGCGAAGCGCAGCUUUUCCCGGACUGACAGUGUGUCCCUUUAGAAUGGCAGAUAGCGCACGGCCUCCAGCUGGCAGAGCACAAGUAGCACGGCUGUGAUGUGCCACCAGUGCGGCAAUAAGGACAAGGGAGUGGAGAAAUUCAGCCAGCCAGAGGUCAUCUGCGUGGCAGCCUGAGGCCUCUGUUGCUCUGUGAACAACUCCUGUUGGGAACAUCACCUAAGGGCAUACAUUCCUCCACAGGGGAGGCACCUGACAUACUUAUUUUGUGCAGCUUGAGUGACAUUCUGUUGGAAAAUACGGAAACAGUUCUGAGCCAUGACCAGAACUUGAAGGCUUCAGUCCUAGGAUUGCCCGUGACAGUCAAACCCCAUGGAAAUGACUACAGUGCAUGA
rnacentral:lncRNA from 1 species